rnacentral:rRNA from 1 species
GACAGAGGGUGCAAACGUUGUUCGGAAUUACUGGGCGUAAAGCGCGUGUAGGCUGCUUGGCAAGUCGGAUGUGAAAGCCCUGGGCUCAACCCAGGAAGUGCAUUCGAAACUGCCGAGCUGGAGUCCUGGAGAGGAAGGCGGAAUUCUAGGUGUAGAGGUGAAAUUCGUAGAUAUCGAGAGGAACACCGGUGGCGAAGGCGGCCUUCUGGACAGUGACUGACGCUGAGACGCGAAAGCGUGGGGAGCAAACAGG